rnacentral:rRNA from 1 species
CUGUGAUUUAUAUCUUAUACACAUGCGUGAGCGCACCAAACACCUAAAAUUGUAAUAAUACCAGUCACUAAGUUUUAACAAAACAAAACUUUCAACAACGGAUCUCUUGGUUCUCGCAUCGAUGAAGAGCGCAGCGAAAUGCGAUACCUAGUGUGAAUUGCAGCCAUCGUGAAUCAUCGAGUUCUUGAACGCACAUUGCGCCCCAUGGUAUUCCAUGGGGCAUGCCUGUCUGAGCGUCGUUUCCUUCUUGCGCAAGCAGAGUUGAGAACAGGCUAUGCCUUUUUCGAAAUGGAACGUCGUGGACGAAGUGAACUAAACUUUUAGCACGCUUUGGCCGCCGAACUUUUAACUAAGCUCGACCUCAGAUCAGGUAGGA